UUCCCCUUUCUCUUCUCAAUCCGGAUCCAUGGAGGUAGGCAGCAGGGGCGCUAUCAACUACGACACUAGGGUUCCUAGCCGCCGCCACACGCCGGCCAGAGCCAUCUCCGCUCCAGCAGCCAUCGAUAGGGCGGGCGUCGGUGCGGCCCGUUGACAGGCCACGCGGCAGCAACACCGCGCACUGCAAGUCGGUCGCCCCCCGCCGCCCGCCAUCCCUGGCCCGCGCGCGCCCCGCCGCCGACCACGAUGAUACCGCCGACUUGUGCAGAGUAAGAGUUGCGCUAAGGAUCCGGCCCAAGAAUGCGGAUGAAUUACCUCAGGGCGCCGACUGAUCGAUACUUGUGUUGAGUUACAGCCCGAGUGUAAGAAGCUGAAGCUCAAGAAAAAUAACUGGGCUUCUGACUCCUACCAGUUUGAUGAGAUAUUUGGUGAAAAUUCUUCACAAAAGCGUAUAUAUGAGGUCGUCGCAAGGCCUCUGGUUGAGGCAAGUCAUGUAUUUCAAUAUCUUUUUUAACAUGCAUCAUAUAAUAUUAAUCAUGAGCAACAUAAUAUUCCAGUUGUUUAUAUUUGUUAAUUUUUAAGUAC